AGCAGAUGACACAGCAGUAACGCACCAGGUACGACCAGGUACUGUAAAGUGGGUAGUAUCCUGGAAUGGAAACAGUCUGGAAUAGGACCUGGUGCCAGAGUCGAGCCGGUUCCAUGUAGUGGAAAGGCGGCAUUCCAAAAGUCCAAACUGCCUGUUCAGGUUCCCUUUACCAUGAGAGCACACAUUUCCAUUGGACAAUCAGUAACAAUGCUGUGAAUAUUUCCCAUGAUCCUCCACUUCAGAGACGCUAGAGAAGGUGAACUGAUGCUGGAAGUGUCCUGUCCUCAUUACCCAGAGUGCACUGCAGCUGCAGCGGCCCUGGCUCAUAUCUGCGGUCGGUCUGUUGUUCCCAUCAUUUGUUUUGUUUUUGUUUUGCCCCCCCCCCCCCCCCCCCCGGCUGUGUUUUUUUUUUUUUUUUUUUUUUUCAGUUUAGUUUUUCUUAUGCAUGGGUUGCCUUUAGUUCAAUUCACACAUUUUCUUCAAAAUUCACACAAAUUUUAACAAAUUAAAUGAAAAAUGCUGAACGUUUCCAAAGGGUAGACAUAUUCUGUGUGUGUGUGUGUGUGUGUGUGGGUGUGUGUGGUGUGUUGGUGUGUGUGUGUGUAGCGGUGCUAAAAGGACCACUGCUACAUGAUUGCUUUUGUUUUAAUUAAUAAAGUUUUUUUUUUUUUUUCCUGUCAAGGUGUUAAA